rnacentral:tRNA from 1 species
AGUGUGGUGGCCGAGUGGUUAAGCAUUGGACUUAAGUUCCAAUGGACAUUAGUCCUCGUGGGUUCAAAUCCCACCCGCACUA